rnacentral:rRNA from 1 species
CGUGUAGGCGGUCUUUUAAGUCUGAUGUGAAAGCCCGGGGCUUACCCCCGGAAGUGCAUUGGAAACUGGGAGACUGGAGUACCGGAGAGGAGGGUGGAAUUCCUGGUGUAGCGGUGAAAUGCGUAGAUAUCAGGAGGAACACCGGUGGCGAAGGCGGCCCUCUGGACGGAUACUGACGCUGAGACGCGAAAGCGUGGGGAGCAAACA